CGGGCCGCCGGUGAAUACCACUACUCUCA
rnacentral:piRNA from 1 species